GUAGAACGGAUGUUGAAGAUUGGUAUACACGAAGUAAUAGACAUGGAAAUGGAUUGAUGGCAGGUCUGAUGGCAGGCUCGUAAUUCUAAUGGCGGUAUUUCAUGAUGAAAUUGAAAUCGAAGAUUUUGAGUAUGACGAAGAAACUGAAAUAUAUACAUAUCCAUGCCCUUGUGGAGACCAGUUUGAGAUAACUAAGGAACAACUUGAAAAUGGUGAAGAUGUGGCUGUAUGUCCUAGCUGUUCGUUAAUUGUGAGAGUUAUCUACGAUUUAGAUGAUUUUAUGCAAACAGAACAUGUAAAAUGUACGUCAAACAUAUUGGAGAAAAUAUAAUUUCAAUAAAAUCCAAAUGAAAGUUGACGCUGUAACAUCAAAACUUUUAUAUAGUUACUCUUAAACACAUUGUAGACAAAAACAUUGCGCACAUUUUCCUUGCUUCACCAGAGUAAAGUUGAACAUUGAAAAGAAAUAAGAAAUAACAUUCUACAUAAUGUAAAUUACUGACAAAUUUUAACCAUGAGAAACUUACCAUACAAGAUAAUGUGGUGUCAAUUUGGUGGAAAGGACUAGAUGACGAGAAAAUAUGGGCAGAAUUGAUCAGGAUAAAUUAUCACUUCCCUAUGUAGUGUGGAACAUUCUGGUAACCAUCUGCAAACAACAUGAUGUCAGACUUUUAUAAAUAUUUUGAAAAUCAGGGGGGGGGAGUUUAUUACAAUUACAGUCUGCAGUUUGUAUGAUUAGCAGAAUUUAAAAUUGAUGUAAAUAAGUAAUUUGCACAAUAAGUGUUAUGUGUAUUGUUAAAAUGCAUAGAUUAUGAAUAGUAUGAAUAAUUGAUAUA